rnacentral:rRNA from 1 species
AUUGAACGCUGGCGGCAGGCCUAACACAUGCAAGUCGAACGAGUGGCGGACGGGUGAGUAAUGUCUGGGAAACUGCCUGAUGGAGGGGGAUAACUACUGGAAACGGUUGCUAAUACCGCAUAGCAGCGGAUGGGCCCAGUUGGGAUUAGCUAGGAGUGGGGGUAAAGGCUCACCAAGGUGCCGAUCCGUAGCUGGUCUGAGAGGAUGAACAGCCACACGUGAACUGAGACACGGUCCAGCCUCCUACGGGAGGCAGCAUUGGGGAAUAUUGCACAAUGGGCGCAAGCCUGAUGCAGCCAUGCCGCGUGUGUGAAGAAGGCCUUCGGGUUGUAAAGUACUUUCAGCGGGGAGGCGUUACCCGCAGAAGAAGCACCGGCUAACUCCGUGCCAGCAGCCGCGGUAAUUC